rnacentral:rRNA from 1 species
GAUGAACGCUGGCGGCGUGCCUAAUACAUGCAAGUCGAGCGAACAGACGAGGAUCUUGCUCCUCUGACGUUAGCGGCGGACGGGUGAGUAACACGUGGAUAACCUACCUAUAAGACUGGGAUAACUUCGGGAAACCGUAGCUAAUACCGGAUAAUAUAUUGAACCGCAUGGUUCAAUAGUGAAACACGGUUUUGCUGUCACUUAUAGAUGGAUCCGCGCCGCAUUAGCUAGUUGGUAAGGUAACGGCUUACCAAGGCAACGAUGCGUAGCCGACCUGAGAGGGUGAUCGGCCACACUGGAACUGAGACACGGUCCAGACUCCUACGGGAGGCAGCAGUAGGGAAUCUUCCGAACUGGGCGAAAGCCUGACGGAGCAACGCCGCGUGAGUGAUGAAGGUCUUCGGAUCGUAAAACUCUGUUAUUAGGGAAGAACGAAUGUGUAAGUAACUAUGCACGUCUUGACGGUACCUAAUCAGAAAGCCACGGCUAACUACGUG